ensembl:lncRNA
GUCUAUUAAUCGACCAGCCCAUAGCAGAAAUUGUGUCAUGAAACGAUUUCAAGUCAAUAAAAAUUCAUCAGCAAUGUGGGGCAGAACAGAUAAAGCCAUCUCCUCAUCCUCCAUAUGUAUUUCUCAUGGUAAAUUUGUAGAUUAAUCAACUGUAUUAACUGAAUAUUAUGAUCACUGCAUGUCUUUGAGCUAAAAUUGAAUGCGUAUUUGUUUUGUAAAAUGCUGUUCUCAUGCCGUGCAUUCUUACAUCCACAUGACAUCUUCUGUAAUUUGAAUAUCUGGAUGUUAGUCAAGCAUGACAACAAAACAAACAAAUACAUGCACUUGCUCCGGUGGCACCUAACAGCAUUUUCCUCGAGUGUGCAACAAGGGCUAAAUAUGUCUUAGCAAAGGUCAGGCUAUGAUUUGUUAUGAGAGCACUCGUGGGGAAUUCUGAUGCACACUGAUCAAUCCCACACCCCUUGACACGCACAUAAAUCAAUGCUGUAUCAAGAAAAGCCCUCCCACUGUACAAGACGAGAGCAGGGCGACGUGAUAAAUCCCGUAUUCGCCAUUUUCUGCCCCCUCCUCCACCUCUAAGAUCCAGGCCCGCUAAUAGAUCACAAUACGCCGGCCUUGCUGUUCUGUUUGGUGGUGUGAAAAAAAGAAAAUCCCCUAUGCGCUAACACUCUUUGGCGUUGAUGGCUUAUUACCAGGCGCUGUGAUUUGACGGGAUGUGUUCAAGGAUCUCCUGUGCGGAGGAAAAGCGUGCCGAGCUUCAUUUCCUCCUGUGAGACAGCCAUGCCCUGAGAAUAAGUGGAUGACACUCAGACAUUGUUUUCGUGUGCUGGUGAUGUGCUGGUAGAGCUGACCCUUAGUACAGCUUCCUACUCUGACAGCCAGGGGCCGUGAGGGGCCGUUAAGGGCCAUGUGGGCCCGGCUGCAGCUGCUCCACUCUCCUUGCCCACUCAGCAGGCACACUGUGCCCUUUGAGCCCACCUGCCAUUCAAUCCAGCACAGAUGUGCCCUCAGCUGUUCUCUGUGCCAUUACUGCUCCCUGCACUUUUUAUCCUGCACCUCGGAGACCCCAAACUGCCAAACGAGGUGAAUUAUGGCCAGUUAUAUGGAGUGGACUCUGAGCCACGGGGGACAGGACAUAGUCAGAAGAACUAACCACAGUUCUGACCAUUAAAAGCCAGCCUGACACUGGCCCUUCAUCUUUCCUCCUCCACGAGACGAGU